AGUCAUGAACCCUCACAGUGACUUCAGGAAGAAAGGAUCAACACCAGCACUCACCAUCACUUGGAUGUCAAGAUUCAGGGUCUGCAAAUGAUGUGCUUGAGGUUUACCUUGAUGAAGUGGCUGAGCUGGGACUUGAACAGAUGCCCCUGGGAUGAGUUACAUUCGUGUAUUUGAGAAGAUUAGAAAAAUAGAGAAAAGCAUAGAAAAGAAAGGAAGACUCAUCUUGUCUCCCAUCACCCUGAGUUACAGUGAGGACUUGGUGGGCUGCCUUCUGUACUCUUACCCCUCGUGCCCUCCAGAUCCAUGCCCUGUGCUGCUCUGUGCCUGCAGCCUCAUCAACAGGCCCUGUGUCCUCUUAUAUGGCUGGGUUUGGCCACUUGGAAGGCCUGGCAGAAGGAAGGAGAGGAAAGUCAGUGAAAUUGUUCCCCUGGCACCCUCCCUGCAAGGUCACCUUGCUGCAGAUCACUACUGCUCUCAAGACUCAGGAGCCUAAUGAGACACUGUCUCCUGCCGCACUCUGCAUACUAUCCCUUACUUCCCUCCUGUAAGUGUAAGGAUGGUAAGGCCCUAGCAACUGUGCUAUUGGUUGUGCCCCUACCCACCUGCACUUUUGUAAAUAAUCCCUCCUCAGGUCAUCCUAUGUUGAGCAUGCCAUCUGUUUUCUAUUGGGAAUCUGAUUGAUUUACUUCCUGACUCACUGACAUUUCAGGCCUUUCCCCUAAAGCUCUCAUUGCCAUGAGUUUUCCCGAGGUUUCCAAGCCAUGCAUGGUAUCUAGAAUAAACGUGGGGGUCCCGAGGAGAGAAGGCCUCUAGUUUCCUGACUCUUCCCUGGCACUACCCCCAACUUGACUUUGCACAGAGGUAGGCCCACAGAGGUGUGUAGACCUCCACACACCUCCACCCCCACCCAAGAAGCUCCAACUCCUGCUGCUAUUAUCCCUCUAUUAAAGUCACUCCAUUGGUUACCAGAAUUCUCUCUGGAAGGUCCUCUGAUAGUCGAAGAGAAAGUUGUAGGAGAAAAGGAAUGAGCCAUGGCUUACUCAACCCAAGGUCUUUGUGCAUAAUGCUGCCUCAGAGCCCUACUCACCGCCUGGCUGAGUCCUGCUGACCUUUCUGGCCUCAGCUUUAAUGAGGUGUCCUCUGCAAAGCCUUCUCCAAGCUCUCCAACCUGGUUAGGGGCCCUUCUUUUGUGCUUCCUCAUGACUCUUAUGACAACUUGUUGUAACUCUCCUCAGGAGGCUAUGAGGUCUGUGAAGGCAGGAUCUGUGUCCUGUUCACUCUUCUACCUGGCCCUUGGCCAUAACACCUGGCACAUACACACUCCAUACAUAUGUUGAACAUCGCACAUUUGGGAUAUCCUCCAAUGUUGAGUUUCCCUAUGAGAUCCAUUUAGAAUGACUAUUGCUGGUGGGAAGACACCUUGAUUUGAAUGAGCCAGCCACCUCCUUUUUGCUGUUUAUAUUAGAAUCCAUUUGGCCAGGCACAGUGGCUCAUGCCUGUAAUCCCAGCACUUUGAGAGGCUGAGGUGGGCAG
rnacentral:lncRNA from 1 species